UUAAGUUUUUGGCCUUUUAAUUUUUAAAGUCGUAAGAUGCAUCAUUUAAAGAAAAAAAAUGUUGUCCAUCAAAUUGAUGAUUCGUUCACAAUUAUAACCAACAAACAUAACUUCGGAACAAAGGAAAACAUCAUUGAGAGACCUCAUCCUCUCUCUAAAUCUCUAAGAGAGAUUUUUCUAUGUUUUCUUUAAUUUUCUUGGGGCCCUUAGUCUCCUUCGGUUUUUGCUAGCUAGCUUGUGGCCCCAUCUGGGCAGGGGAAGUAAUUCAUCCUUUGUUCAGAAGUGGAUUCACUAGAUCCUUUCUCCGGGUAUCUAUGGGGAAACAAUCUUGAGUCGGCGAGCUCUUUUGUUCUUGUAUGGCAUGCGGUUUAGCUGCUUCUGGUGGUGGUUGCUCGUGGGGUGCAAUCUGAAAGUUUAGCCCGGAAGGCGCGAAUGAGACGCCGAAGAACCUCACUAUUGCAAUCUUUUGCUUUCUUGGUGCCGGUGUGAUGUUUCCAUGGCUUUUCGAAGGCGGCCAGUGGCUUCCCUUUGUGGGUUUUGGUACCUAGGAUGGGGUAUUUCUUCUCUGUAACAGGCUUGUGCCUGUGCAUGCAAAUCCUGUUUUUCUUCUCCCUGGUGGUUUCUUCUUCCACGAGGAGAGGUGGGCAAUGUGGCAGUGCGGAGGACCAGUAAACGGCGCAAGCUUUGCCUUUGCUACCUAGAGUUUCCUCUCUGCUUAAUCUCUAUACUUGGAAUGAGUAGAGUAGGUUCUGGUCCUUUGGGCCGAUUGUUUAGCCUCUUCGGUUCUUGUCUCUUUUGGACUAGUCUAUGAGCUGGCCCAUGCUUAUAAUGCUAUGGACUUGGACCAUUUAAUGAAA